rnacentral:rRNA from 1 species
CUACAUUCAAUAAGCGGAGGAAAAGAAACCAACAGGGAUUGCCCUAGUAACGGCGAGUGAAGCGGCAACAGCUCAAAUUUGAAAUCUGGCGUCUUCGGCGUCCGAGUUGUAAUUUGCAGAGGGCGCUUUGGCAUUGGCAGCGGUCCAAGUUCCUUGGAACAGGACGUCACAGAGGGUGAGAAUCCCGUACGUGGUCGCUAGCCUUUACCGUGUAAAGCCCCUUCGACGAGUCGAGUUGUUUGGGAAUGCAGCUCUAAAUGGGAGGUAAAUUUCUUCUAAAGCUAAAUACUGGCCAGAGACCGAUAGCGCACAAGUAGAGUGAUCGAAAGAUGAAAAGCACUUUGGAAAGAGAGUUAAAAAGCACGUGAAAUUGUUGAAAGGGAAGCGCUUGCAGCCAGACUUGCCUGUAGUUGCUCAUCCGGGUUUCUACCCGGUGCACUCUUCUAUAGGCAGGCCAGCAUCAGUUUGGGCGGUUGGAUAAAGGUCUCUGUCAUGUACCUCCUUUCGGGGAGAUCUUAUAGGGGAGACGACAUGCAACCAGCCUGGACUGAGGUCCGCGCAUCUGCUAGGAUGCUGGCGUAAUGGCUGUAAGCGGCCCGUCUUGAAACACGGACCAAGGAGUCUAACAUCUAUGCGAGUGUUUGGGUGUCAAGCCCGAACGCGUAAUGAAAGUGAACGGAGGUGGGAACCUUUCGGGGUGCACCAUCGACCGAUCCUGAUGUCUUCGGAUGGAUUUGAGUAAGAGCAUAGCUGUUGGGACCCGAAAGAUGGUGAACUAUGCUUGAAUAGGGUGAAGCCAGAGGAAACUCUGGUGGAGGCUCGCAGCGGUUCUGACGUGCAAAUCGAUCGUCAAAUUUGGGCAUAGGGGCGAAAGACUAAUCGAACUAUCUAGUAGCUGGUUCCUGCAUC